rnacentral:rRNA from 1 species
CCUACGGGUGCAGCAGUGGGGAAUAUUGCACAAUGGGCGCAAGCCUGAUGCAGCCAUGCCGCGUGCAUGAAGAAGGCCUUCGGGUUGUAAAGUACUUUCAGCGGGGAGGAAGGCGAUAAGGUUAAUAACCUUGUCGAUUGACGUUACCCGCAGAAGAAGCACCGGCUAACUCCGUGCCAGCAGCCGCGGUAAUUCGGAGGGUGCAAGCGUUAAUCGGAUUUACUGGGCGUAAAGCGCACGCAGGCGGUCUGUCAAGUCGGAUGUGAGAUCCCCGGGCUCAACCUGGGAACUGCAUUCGAAACUGGCAGGCUAGAGUCUUGUAGAGGGGGGUAGAAUUCCAGGUGUAGCGGUGAAAUGCGUAGAGAUCUGGAGGAAUACCGGUGGCGAAGGCGGCCCCCUGGACAAAGACUGACGCUCAGGUGCGAAAGCAUGGGGAGCAAACAGGAUUAGAUACCCCUGUAGUC